CUCUUUGUCUAACGCGUCAACGGUCAACCGCCGUUCUAAGUUAAAGUUAUUAACGGACGCAGGACGCCGGACGCCGCCAGUAAGGGACAACACGGACGUCCCGCAGACUUGGACGGAUGGCCUGGAUCUUGCGGUCAACAGGCUUCAAGCCGUCCGCAGAUGUUAUGCACGACGGGAAAAGAUACAAUCGUUUAAGUUCUGCAGUUUGGGCUUCAAGAUUGGCGGUGCUGGCAUCGAAUGAGAGAAAAUUUUGUACCUGAUAUGAUGGAAAACCAAUAAAUUUUAAAAAUUUAACUAAAUAA